rnacentral:rRNA from 1 species
UACAGAGGGUGCGAGCGUUAAUCGGAAUUACUGGGCGUAAAGCGCGCGUAGGCGGCUUUUCAAGUCGAUUGUGAAAUCCCCGGGCUUAACCUGGGAACUGCAGUCGAGACUGUCUAGCUAGAGUAUGGGAGAGGGAAGUGGAAUUUCAGGUGUAGCGGUGAAAUGCGUAGAGAUGCGGAGGAACACCGAUGGCGAAGGCAGCCCCCUGGGCUGACACUGACGCUCAGGCACGAAAGCGUGGGGAGCAAACAGG